rnacentral:rRNA from 1 species
UACACUCCUACGGGAGGCAGCAGUGGGGAAUAUUGGACAAUGGGCGCAAGCCUGAUCCAGCCAUGCCGCGUGAGUGAUGAAGGCCCUAGGGUUGUAAAGCUCUUUCACCGGUGAAGAUAAUGACGGUAACCGGAGAAGAAGCCCCGGCUAACUUCGUGCCAGCAGCCGCGGUAAUACGAAGGGGGCUAGCGUUGUUCGGAUUUACUGGGCGUAAAGCGCACGUAGGCGGACUAUUAAGUCAGGGGUGAAAUCCCGGGGCUCAACCCCGGAACUGCCUUUGAUACUGGUAGUCUUGAGUUCGAGAGAGGUGAGUGGAAUUCCGAGUGUAGAGGUGAAAUUCGUAGAUAUUCGGAGGAACACCAGUGGCGAAGGCGGCUCACUGGCUCGAUACUGACGCUGAGGUGCGAAAGCGUGGGGAGCAAACAGGAUUAGAUACCCCAGUAGUCCCAU